CUCAAGAGCAGGAUCUUAAGUGAAAAUAUGUGAGGACCCCAGCUAUUGAUGCAUAUUCACUUUGUGUCUUGACCCACCUUUGCUAGACGCAUCAUGGAGUCACCUGCAUGUCACAGGAAGAGAAUGGCACGUGCGAAACACGUCAACAAUCUAGUUAACACCUAUCAAGUCUGCUCCAAGACCUUUUCUGAGGUAGCUUGUCCCCCGUAUUUUGGUUUUAUAAAAGCUGCUGGAACAAACAUUUUGUACAUCUAAUUUUAUUUACUUGGGAAGAACUUUUUAUAGAAUCUACUUCUAGAUAUAAAAAGGGUCAUUUUUAAAGCAGACACUGUUGAAGGUGCUCUUAUCUACUCAAGAUAGAUUGUGACCCUCCUAGGCCUGUCCUCCCGGUGAGCGCCCAGCGUCUUCUGUGUUUCCUGAUCCCUUCAUCCAUAUCUCUCUUCAAUUCUCCCUUGACUCAGAGCAUCAUGAUAUGGACUGGAGACACAACUCGGAGUAAACCACAGUUUCCGAAGUCAUGGAAUUUACAUUCUAGUGCCAGGCUCAUUUUCCUCUCAGAACAAUCAUAGAAGCAGAACAUGAGAGUCAGAGAAGGAAUUUGAAGUUCAUCUUCAUUUAUCGUCUGCAGAUGUACUUCUCAUGCAACUUACUUCCUCUUCUCAGUUCGCUAAUGAUGUUGUUAAACAAAAUAGAACCCAACACUGACCCAUGAGGACAGCCGCUCACAUUCUGUGUUCAUUUUACGUCAAUCAUCCAUUCCAUCAAUGGAAUGUCUUAACUCAAAGUACUCGUACUGGGACAAGAACA